rnacentral:rRNA from 1 species
GGAGCCUGCGGUUUAAUUGGAUUCAACGCCGGAAAUCUCACCGGGGCGACAGCAAUAUGAAGGUCAGGCUGAAGACCUUACCCGAUUAGCUGAGAGGUGGUGCAUGGCCGUCGUCAGUUCGUACUGUGAAGCAUCCUGUUAAGUCAGGCAACGAGCGAGACCCACGUCCACAGUUGCCAGCAUACCCUCCGGGGUGAUGGGUACACUGUGGAGACCGCCGCUGCUAAAGCGGAGGAAGGAGUGGGCAACGGUAGGUCAGUAUGCCCCGAAUCUCCCGGGCUACACGCGGGCUACAAUGGUUGGUACAAUGGGCAUCUACCCCGAAAGGGGAAGGAAAUCUCUUAAAGCCAAUCGUAGUUCGGAUUGAGGGCUGCAACUCGCCCUCAUGAAGCUGGAAUCCGUAGUAAUCGCGUUUCAACAGGACGCGGUGAAUACGUCCCUGCUCCUU